GGGGCGGGGCGGCGGGCGGCGGGCGGCGGGCCCCGCCCAGCUCGGGCCACUGGCUGUCAGCGUAGCGCCGGGCGGCCGGUCCCCGCGGCCCAGCGACCCCGAGCGGGCGGCCAGGUGUCCCGCGGGCGGGCCCGCCUCGCCUCGCCUCGCCUCGCCGCGGCGGCGGGCGGCGGGCGCGUGUGUGCGGGGCUGCGCUCGGGUGCUCGUCCUCCCCGCGUCCUGCCGGCCGGCUCGCCCCGCCGCCUCGCGCCUCCCCGCCGCGGCUCCGGCUGCCUGAACCAUGUCGGCCAGGGUGGCCCACCCGCAGGACCCUCACCAGCCAUCAGAGAAGCCCGUCAUUCACUGCCAUAAAUGCGGGGAGCCAUGCAAGGGAGAAGUGCUUCGUGUUCAGACCAAACAUUUCCACAUCAAAUGUUUCACCUGCAAAGUGUGCGGCUGCGACCUGGCUCAAGGAGGCUUCUUCAUCAAGAACGGGGAGUACCUCUGCACCCUGGACUACCAGAGGAUGUACGGCACGCGCUGUCACGGCUGCGGGGAGUUCGUGGAGGGGGAGGUGGUGACGGCUCUGGGCAAGACCUACCACCCCAACUGCUUCGCCUGCACUGUUUGCAAGCGCCCGUUUCCCCCUGGAGACCGCGUCACGUUCAAUGGGAGAGACUGCCUUUGUCAGCUCUGCGCCCAGCCGAUGUCCUCCAGCCCUAAAGAAGCCACCUGCUCUGGCAAUUGUGCUGGCUGCGGAAGGGACAUCAAGAAUGGACAGGCCCUGCUGGCACUGGAGAAGCAGUGGCACUUGGGGUGCUUCAAGUGCAAGUCGUGUGGGAAGGUGCUCACAGGAGAGUAUAUCAGCAAGGACGGCACUCCAUACUGUGAGAAGGAUUACCAAGGGCUCUUCGGGGUGAAGUGUGAAGCCUGCCAGCAGUUCAUCACAGGGAAAGUCCUGGAGGCAGGUGACAAACAUUACCACCCCAGCUGUGCACGAUGCAGCAGAUGCAACCAGAUGUUCACAGAAGGAGAGGAAAUGUAUCUUCAAGGUUCCACCGUGUGGCAUCCCGACUGUAAACAGUCCACCAAAACGGAGGAGAAGCUGCGGCAGCCACCAAACAGUCAUCGUUCCUCGUCUGACUUCUUUUACCCCAAAAGUCUGAUCCGACGCUCAGGAUGGUCCCCGUUUCUGAAGCCAACCAGAACUUCCUCUGAAAGCGUAUAUUCCAGACCAGGCUCCAGUAUCCCUGGCUCCCCAGGCCAUACUAUCUAUGCAAAAGUGGACAAUGAAAUCCUAGAUUACAAGGACUUAGCAGCCAUCCCUAAGGUCAAGGCAAUAUAUGACAUCGAACGCCCAGAUCUUAUUACCUACGAGCCUUUCUACACUUCUGGCUACGAUGACAAGCAGGAGAGGCAGAGCCUGGGAGAGUCUCCAAGAACAUUGUCUCCUACUCCAUCAGCAGAAGGUUACCAGGAUGUUCGGGACCGGAUGAUGCACCGGUCCCCCAGCCAAGGCUCCAUCAACUCCCCCGUGUAUAGCCGCCACAGCUACACUCCAACCACAUCCCGCUCCCCUCAGCAUUUCCAUAGACCCGAGCUGCUGUCUCCUGGUGUGCAGAGACUGUCCUACCUGCGCACCAGUAGCCUCAGCUCCACCCACAGCGACUCCCGCCCCAACUCCCCCUUCAGACACCACUUCAUCCCCUAUAUCAAAGGCAAUGAGCCACCCAGCGGCCGGAACUCCCCUCUCCCUUACCGGCCAGACAGCCGCCCACUAACUCCAACUUAUGCUCAAGCCCCUAAACAUUUCCAUGUUCCAGAUCAAGGAAUCAACAUUUACCGAAAACCACCCAUCUACAAACAGCAUGAUGCAGCUGCCUUGGCAGCCCAGAGCAAAUCUUCCGAAGACAUCAUCAAGUUUUCCAAGUUCCCAGCAGCCCAGGCUCCAGACCCCAGCGAGAUACCAAAGAUUGAGACGGACCACUGGCCUGGUCCCCCCUCACUUGCCGCCGUAGGAGCUGACAUGAGGCGCAGAUCUAGUGGCAGAGAGGAAGAUGAGGAGGAACUUCUGAGACGCCGCCAACUUCAAGAAGAGCAAUUAAUGAAGCUCAACUCUGGCCUGGGGCAGUUGAUACUGAAAGAAGAGAUGGAGAAAGAGAAGGAGAGCCGGGAGAGGUCAGCCCUGUCAGCCAGUCGCUGUGAUUCUCCCAUCAACUCAGCUUCACAUAUGUUAUCAUCUAAGACUGCAUCUCUCCCAGGCUAUGGAAAAAAUGGGCUUCACCGGCCCAUUUCCACAGACUUUGCCCAGUACAACAGCUAUGGGGACGUCAGUGGGGCCGUACAAGACCCUCCAGGAUGGCCACUUGCCUGGAAUGAGAAUGGACCGAGGAGUGUCGAUGCCCAACAUGUUGGAACCAAAGGCAAGUGCGCUUCUUCUCUUUCCUACUAUAUAGGGACAGCAGAGACACAGCCCUAGAAAGAUGUAGCAUUCUAUCUUUUUUUUCUAUGCUCAGACUAUUGAGUUCCCCUUGACUCUAGGCUGGUCCACUCGGCAGUCCUUGUUGCUACACCACUGAUUGUGUCACAUCAGGACAGCAGGUUUGAGUUGUUUCUAGGGUGUUCACACCCAAGUCCCAGCGCAUCUCUCCUGUGACCUUGACUUCACUCAGUCCCUGCCUUGCACACUGGAACAUGGCCUGUGCUGAGUAGCAGCUACAGAGCACAUAGAGCGACAAGACCUCCCAGCUUAUCCAGAAGUUUCCAGUCCCAAAGUCUUGCAUCCUGGGCAAACCAGGAUAGCCCGGUCACUCAUUCCAAAGCCACCGAUAGCUCCAGAGAUGUCCAAGGGCUGUGCUCCCCUGUGACCCUAACUGGGGCUUACUUCAGCACCUCAUAUCCCAUAGCAGUGCUGCUGACCUGGCUUGCUCCAUGAAUUUCUGAGCCAGCCAUGGAACAAGAUUGUUGAGCCCUACACUAAGGCAUUCUGCCAUGUGCAUGUAUCUGUAACUUCACUUCUCUUCUAAUUUUCACCUUCAUUCCCACUGUAGAGUGAGCAAGGUGCAGCAGGAGGCCUUGGGAGGCAUGUGGGAAUGUGUAAGAACUUGUCACCUGACGCUAGAAACUGGAGGAAGGAGUGCUCGUCUUUCGUUGCUAAUGUCCACUGUGGGAGUGCUAGAUCCUGCAGGUUAACUAAAUGAACAGUCGUGUUUGAACUUUGUUUUCCUUUCCUUCUCAGAUAUUUCCAUAUGAAAUGCUCAUGGUGACCAACAGAGGGCGCAACAAAAUCCUAAGAGAUGUGGACAGAACUAGACUGGAGCGCCACUUAGCCCCUGAAGUUUUUCGGGAAAUCUUUGGAAUGUCCAUACAGGAGUUUGACAAGUUACCUCUUUGGAGACGCAACGACAUGAAGAAAAGAGCGAAACUCUUCUAAAUACCGCACGUUGACAGCAAUUAGAAAAGACUCACAUUGGAUGUUGUACUAAAGGCCCAAACUUGAUUGGAGGACUUGCAGAUUAGUACCUUGCAGCAGCAACAACAGGGAAAAAAAAAUGGGUAGGAGGGAGGAAUAUGAUUCAAACAUUCAUGAGCCAAAUAUUGGGCCAAUCCAUAGGCAACACUUGCCAUGAAGCAAGGGGGUAGAGAUUUCUGUGUUCCCAUACUGGACAGUAGUGUUCAUAUGUCACCUUUUGACAUCCCUUUAUGUGCCCAACAGGAGCUGCUGCUUUUGUUUUCUAUUCACUCUUGUCCACCCAUAGUGUUGCCUGUCUGGUUAAAAGCCAGCAAGUGCCCUUAGGAUGCCACAUGGGAAGAAGCAGUCAGGAUAGACCCAAGGCAUGAAGUAUUUAUUGUGGAUCACUGUGGCUAGGAAGCAAGAGUCCGAGGGCCCCAUCCAUGUGGCAUAGUGGCCUUUUGCACACUCCUCUCCCUGCUCGCCUCACACAGCUCAGCCUGUGUCCUUGCAGAAUGGAAGCCAGUGGGAAAACCUGGCAGCUCCAUUUCAGAGCCCUGAUCAGAACGCAGAAUCAUUUGUAACCUGUUCCUUGUUCUCCACUAUUUGCUAGGACCUGGUUGGCAACUGCUUAACUUUUUUCCCAUUAUUUUUUGAAAGAGAAGGAAAAAGAAUGGAAGGAAACCCUUUCAGUUCUGUGUCUGUUCCAGAGGGCUUGCUUGCUUCUUCCACCAAGGAUAGGAGUUGUCUGUGUUCCUGUUUUGCAAAGAAAGGAUAGAGGGAAAUUGAACAUUAUCUUUGGGUUGGCCCAGUUGCAUGCUCUUAGUUGAUUUUUUUUUUCUUCCCAGGGGCUAUAGCAUUCUUAAGGAAAAGCUUCUCUAGCCUUCCAGUGGAAGCUCUUCCACCCACAUCCUCUGCUGUCUGUCUGGCUUCCUCUGAGUCAGAUCAAAUCCACCCUAAUUUUUGAAGGUCUUUUUACUAAUAGGCAAAAGAAACGCAUGGUUUUCUUUUUUAAAUCUCUGCAUCUCUAAGGUAGAUUGCCUCCAGCUGAUUUAACUUGGCCUGUUCAGCUUUCUUUCUUGCCUGGACCUAUGAGAGAGAGAGGGAGAGGGAGAAAAGAUAUGAGAGAGGGGAUUUGAGAGAGCACUGUGUGUUACCCAGGGAAGUUCUGUGAGUCUGCAUUCACUUUUUCACUUUCUUUCUGAUUGAGUGUCCCAGUGUGCUACAGUGUCCGCAGGACAUCUGCACAGGGUGUGUGUGUGUGUGUGUGUGUGUGUGUGUGUGUGUGUGUGUGUGUGUGUGUGUCAGGGCGCAAAGGUAAACUGCACCCUACCUGGAAGGGUGUUGGUCCUUCGAAGCCACACACUCCUUAGUUGAUGUAACUAAUCAGUUAGCGUCAGAUUGAAGAGCAUAAACCAAGGAUGGGGCUGGAUGUGGACUCUCCACAACACUGGGUUCACGACAGAGCUGAGGAAUCCACCCAGACACGCACGUGAGGCCACACAAAGAGUCUUGACAGCCUCUUGCUCAAAUGGGACACGGGUGAGACAAGGACACCUCACACAGAUUGCUUUGACAUUCUGCUCUUGGGGCGUUAAGCAUGAUUAUAAAGCCAAAGGAAAAAGCACAUGAGCUCAUCUGCUUUUGACCCUGACAACAGCUGAGUAAUUCUUCACAUCAACACCAAGUGUUAGGAUGCAGGAGCGGCUUUUUACCUGGUGACAGACAGGUAGUGGUUUCUGCAGACACAUAUUCACCAGCAGUGUUUGGUGGUGCUACAUUGCACAUUGUGAUGGCUUCACGGUCUUCUCCUGUGCUAGUUCAGAGGAUUCUAAAUUUGCCUGUUUUUUCAGAGAUCGGAUGCUUGAGAACUAGUCUCAAGAGUGUGUGUGUGUGUGUGUGUGUGUGUGUGUGUGUGUGUGUGUGUGUAUGUACAUGUGUGUACACACACAUGUGCAUGCCCUCAAGGAGACCAGCUACUCCUUGGGCCACAGUUGGCCUGUUGACUAGUCUCAAGAGUGUGUGUGUGUGUGUGUGUGUGUGUGUGUGUGUGUGUAUGUUUGUUUGUGUGUGUGUGUACACGCACAUGUGCAUGCCCUCAAGGAGACCAGCUCCUCCUUGGGCCACAGUUGGCCUGUUGCUUGCAGUCUUGCCUGUUUUCAUAAUUUGCUUCUUGCUUCAUUGACUGCUUCCACUACCCCAUCAUCUCUGAACAAUCCUGGUAUACUGGGUAUGCUAGUCCUUGUUUCAUCCUGUGAAAGGAUAAAGAGUGGAGACUGUAGUCUGCUGUUUCCUGUCAGUCAAUAGCAAGCAUGGCCAGAUGGGUCCCAGAGUAUGGCUGGCAGAGAGGUUUUUGUUUUUUUUUUAUGUUUAUGGAGAUAGUAAAGAGUCUUCACUGGUUCUUUCUGCUUAAUGGAGUUAUGACCCCCUGCAUAAACAGAUCAAGUAUCAGUAUAAGAAAACUUGCAGUGAUAAAUCUCCCACCAAUGUAUCUUUGCUGGCAUCUUUUGAAUUCAGUUCUGUAUCCAACUUGGAUUGGAGGGAGUAUGAGCGGGUUUAAACUACACCCUGGAAGUGUGUUUCUGGAACAUCUCAGGAGGCUAGCAUUACGCAUUGUACGUAGUCUCGGGAGGGGACGUGGAACCCACAGUACAGAUGAGACACCUCAGCUCCACUCCUCAGCAAAAGGCGUCAGCUAAAAGGAUGGAUCAUAGGGCUUCCCGGUUGUCUUAACUGCCAGCUCUAAGGUAUGAGCUGCAACACCCUAGCCAUUAGUCAAAUUUGAUUCAAUAUGGCUGCCCUCAACAAGGUCAGAUCAUAACCCAGGAUAUGAGGGUUCUCUACCUGAACCCCACCUUGCACUGAACAUAAAAAUCCCAGUUGAUUAGCACAGCUGGCUAGUGGAGUUACUCCCUCCAGGAAAUGAACUGUACACCUGACGGGCUUCCCUGGCACAUAUAUACAAGGGCUACACUUUCUUGAGUGCUGGGCUUCCCUGUGAUUCUCCAGGUGCUCUCAAAUUAUAGGACAAGAAAGAAGUCUCUAUGACAAUAGGAAAGUCAGCGCUUCCUUCAAUUUCUUCCAGAAAAAGAUAUCAAGUUGUCAUGUAGUCUUCCUGUGUGCUUUAAGAUAAGACAUAAAAAAGAUAGGGAAACUUCCGCAGUCAGUUCUGAAUCCAUAUCUGAGUUUAAGUUUAGUUCAGCCAUGUUUGGGUGUGAUUUCUUCACUAACUGAGGAUAAACUGCCUAUCCUCUGAAAUCUCAAACAGAAAAACUUGAGUGGAACAGAUAGUCAAGUGCAAAAUGGUUUUGAAUCCAUCAUGUUCUCUCUUCUCCCAGUUCUGUUGUUUCUAGCUGAGUUUCUCACCAAGGUGAGGCUGGAACAACUCUUUUUUUGACUCACAUCUUCUGCUCUGUCAGUCAGCUCCACUUGGGACAAUCUUGCUAGACAUGUUUAUAAAACUUUCACUUAAGGUCUUUACACUUCGAAGCAAACACCUUUUUUCUAAAGAAUUGCUUCUCAGAUCCACUCUAGAAACUAUAUUCGCCUGUGCAAGUUUUGAAAAACAUAACCGCUUUUGACAAGCUCAGUCUUUCCAAAACUCCUUCAUAACAAAGGAGGGGGUGAGUGUCCUCCACAUGUCAAAAGCCCCAGUGCGCUCUGCUGCCUUGGGGGUCUCUCUGUCACUGUCAUGAGAAGUAACAAAAUAAAAAUGAGCACCCUACCACCAACCCUUCUGUGUCCUUGAAAGUAAGCUCGUUUUGUCAAGACGUCUUCUGUACUUGUAGUCGCCAUUUAAUCUGUAUCUCCGAGCUCAGCCUUGAUUUUAACUAAUUUUUAAAGUGGACUCUGUUGAAUCACCAAAUGUUUUUUCAAUGUGCUCUUUAACACUCAUUCAUUUCUUGAAGAACUUUCUUCCCCCCCAAAAAAAAAAAAAAAAAAUUCAGGGUUGAGAUAGAUGUUCAGUGACACCAUUUUGAGUAAUGAUGUUCAUUAAAUCAAACCCCACCAUGCCGUGAUUAAAGAGAAGCUUUUACAUUGAUGUAAAAAAAAAAAAAUCACUUUUUUCCAUUGGCUGCCCAGGAAGGAGAGAGAGAGGUGAUGGUGACUUGGAGGCUUUGCAUAUACAUUUUUUAUGUUUUUAUCUGGGCAAGUGUAAUGUCUGACAGGUUUAUAAGAGGGAGGGGGUUGGUGGGGAAGGUGAUCAGUUUCAGCUAAAAGGAACUUUCUAAAAGAUGUAUGUGUUUAAGGCGGAAAUCAAACAACUCUACAUUGGCAACUGGAAGUUUGUGUGAUUGAGUGGCAAUUAUUGUCUUUAAAUAAAAAUUCCUGCCAAAUAUAUCUCUUGCUAGAGUGAAGACCAUAUGGGUCCCGGGAAGGACACACCACCAUCUGCACUUAAACAUUCAAAAAUGUGGAGAGCCCCUUGAUGACUGUGUGUUUGCUCACGUUCGCGCGUGCGCACAUGUGUUUCUGUACCCUAUGGAAGAGACAAGGACUGUCCACUGAGUUGCUGCUCUUCGGGCGUUUAUGUAUUGGCCGGUCCAGUCAAAUGUGUGUGGUUUCUGUGUGUGCACAAUCCUGCGUCGGAACUCUCACAGUUCAUUCUGGGCGGGUUUUCUGGAAUUUUGUUCUCAGAUGCUGGAAAGGGUACACUCUCCUUAAUCUCCCUCCCCUCUUCUGCUCCCUUCAAAAGUAGGCAGGCAAAUAUUUGGAAGGAUCGCUAUUUAAAAGCUGUGUUGUGUGUGUGUCCCUCCCCACAGUGAGUGGGUGUCUGGCCUCAUAUGCCGCACCUGUGCAUCCCCCCCAUGUCUGGAGAGGUGGAGGAGGCCAGCUGGUAGCCCACGUUGCUGAGCUUGGCGAUGCUCACCUGCUCCUGCUCCUGUUAUGAACAGCACCCGCCACCCUGCCGCUGUGCUCUGCUCCAUGUCACUUGUACCCACGACUUGGUGAAUAAAAUGUGUGCAUUAUUCCUAA